rnacentral:rRNA from 1 species
AUUGAACGCGGGCGGCAUGCUUUACACAUGCAAGUCGAACGGCAGCGCGGACUUCGGUCUGGCGGCGAGUGGCGAACGGGUGAGUAAGACAUCGGAACGUGCCUGAAAGUGGGGGACAACCAGUCGAAAGAUUGGCUAAUACCGCAUACGAUCUACGGAUGAAAGAGGGGGACCUUAGGGCCUCUUGCUUUUAGAGCGGCCGAUGGCUGAUUAGCUAGUUGGUGGGGUAAAGGCCUACCAAGGCGACGAUCAGUAGCUGGUCUGAGAGGACGAUCAGCCACACUGGGACUGAGACACGGCCCAGACUCCUACGGGAGGCAGCAGUGGGGAAUAU